AAAAACCCAACAGAUUCACUGCGCCUCCUGCCCUCGUCUUCUUCUUCCUGUGCUGCCACCAGUCCACCACAGCCACCAUCCUUGACUUCGCCCGGUGCCUCAGCUCUCACCCUCUGCCUUCCACCGUCGACCACGGGCACUAGCUCUCGCUCUUAUCGUUGCCUCCCAGGACCUAAAUCGAAUUAUUUCUAUAAGGAUUCUUCAAAUUUAUACCCACCCGUCUUUAUAGGGGUCUAGUUUCUACAAGGAAUUGUAUGAUUUAAACUAUUGAAUGAGUUAGCAUGAAUCAGAUUAAUACCUAACAUCAGAUUAUUGUUUGGCUAUUUCCUGAUUCGUUACGUCCUUGGACUUGAUAAUGAAAUUAAUUUUCAUAUUGGCUGUGUUGUUUGAUUUUUGAAUGAAUUAAAUUCAUUGGCUGUAUAUAUUGAAUAGGGUGAACUUGUAGAGUGGACAUUUGCUGAAGAUACCUUUAAAAUUCCACCAUUAUAUUGAUUUCAUUGCAUACAUGAUGUGGAGCUUAUAAGUUCAAUUAAUGAUAUGCCGCAUUAUUUGAUAAUUUUGUCCUUUCAUUUAUUUGGAUAUCUUCAUAUUUAUACAUCUUUGUCAUACUUCAAUACUUAUUUUACUUAGAAUUGUGUGUUUCCUUUUUUCUUUUUUUAUCUAAAAAAGGGCCUUCCUUUUACUUACUCUUUGAUUUAUGGUUUGUUCUAAAAUCGUAUAAAGUUUUUUUUUAGUAUUGUUUUUAUUUAAAACUGAUGUAGCAUUCCAUAUAUGCUUCUUCUGACAUUACUUGUGAUAUAUAUACAUGUGUCUCUUUCUCUGUUUUGUAUAUAUCAAUGUAUGUAUAUGUCUUCUGUUGUCACGUCCGUGUAUGUUGUAAAGGUUUCAGAUUUGCUGUUUGAGAGAGACCACUUCAGGGAAAAGAGUUGUGUAUCCUAAUCUCCAAGAUCUCAUUUUCAUUGAGAUAAAAGCAGCCACAAAUAACUUUGCAUAUGAAAGCAAGCUAGGUGAAGGUGGAUUUGGACCAGCAUAUAAGGUAAAAUAGUGAUCCAUCCAUCUCUUUAUCCUCUAAAGCAAAAUUCAGCAUUGCAUAGGAAAGUUUGAGGUUGCUGAUUGAUUUUAGAUAUUCAAACGUAAAAAAGAAUAUGAACGAAGCAAAAUACCAUCUUAAAAUAAGGAAUAUAAAAGAAAAAAAAAAAGAAACUCCUGAAGUGAAAUAGUAAAUUCUUAUUCAAAUGCAUAUAUUAAUCCAGUCUUUGUAAAUGGGAUGAAUUGCAUAACAUAAUCAAAUGACAAAACUCAUGAACCUAAAGCUUUUUAAGAUAUUUGUCAAGGACUUUUGAAUUGGACGUGUGGUUUGAAUAUUAUAUCAAUAUGAAUAUUCUUGCUUGCUAUAAUAUGGAUAGGCAAUCUGCUCACAUGUUGCUGAGGAAACAAGAUGGCUUCAAAUUCAAUUUAAUCUAGUAGAAAGCUCAGCUUGAGAUCCAUGGAGUUAAAGGCAUGUACAUACGUUAUAUAACCAAUUAAUGAAACUUUAUUUUACAAAAUGAUUUACCUAAUUGGAACUUAAUUUCUAAGAUGUCCUAAUAUAAUUGUUUUUACCGUGUUAUAACAGAUUAUAACUUAAUAGUGUUGGUGUAUUAUCAAUGGAUAAAGAUUGGGUACACUUAUCAAGGUUAUCUCGUCCUUUUAAAUUUAGAAUAUUUUAAAAUAUGUCUUCAAAUGCUUCUAAAUGAUUUAUUUAGCAUUUUUUCAUAGAGUUUCAGAGAUAUAUCAACGUGGUGCAAGAAAAUUUGCAAAUAUGGUGCAAGCCAAUGCGAGGAAUCCAGAAAAGAUCAUAUGCCCUUGCAAAUGUUGCAAAAACCUAUUCCACCAACAUUUUGAUAUAAUGUAUGGGCAUUUGAUCAUUAAUGACAUGGAUCCUACGUAUACUAUCUGGGUGUUUCGUGGCGAAAAAUCAAAUGCAGCAUCAUUGCAUCCUCAAGAUGUAGAAAAUUUAAAGACAUAUAGGAUGUAUAAAGAUGCAUUUUUUCAGGAUCAUAAUAUUGUAGAACCCGAUAAUGAAGAAGGAGAGAGAUUUUUCAAAUUUAUAUGAAGGCAUAGAAAUUCCUUUAUAUCCUGGUUGCACAAAGUAUACAAGGAUAACUGCAACUGUUGUCUUCUACAAGCUUAAAGCUACAUAUGGUAUAUGUGACAACGAUUUCAAUGAACUUCUUGAUAUUAUCCAAGAUAUGCUACCACAUGGGAACACCCUUCCUAAUUCUUACAAUACAAUAAAUAGGUUAUUGAAAACCUUUGAUUUGGGGUAUGAGAAGAUACAUGCAUGCGUAAAUGAUUGUUGUUUGUUUAGAAAUGAUCUAGAGAAUUUGGAGACGUGUCCAAAAUGUGCAUCUUCACGGUGGAAAGUUAAUGAACGGACUAAGAAGAUUCGAAAAGGGAUACCUGCAAAGGUUUGCGAUAUUUUCUGAUAUACCACGACUCAGAAGAAUGUUUAGGUCACUUGAUAAGGCAGAACAUUUAAUAUGGCAAUCAAAUCACAAAAGUCUAGAUGGAAAAAUGCGUCAUCCUGUUGAUUCAUUAGAUUGGGAAAGAAUUGAUAAAAAAAUGGCCUUGUUUUGUAUCAGAACCACGAAAUCUUAGACUUGUCCUUUCUCUGAUGGAUUAAAUCCCUUUGGUGACCUAAGUUCUACGUAUAGUUGUUGGCCAGUGAUACUAGUUAUAUAUGAUCUCCCUCCUUGGAUAUGUAUGUCUAAGGAAAAUUUGUUGUUGACUUUAUUAAUCCCAGGUCCCAAGCAACUUGGAAAUGAUAUAGAUAUGUAUCUAGAACUACUAAUAGAAGACUUAAAGGAGUUGUGGAAUAUUGGUGUUGAAGUAUAUGAGGGAUUUACCAAGUCCACCUUCAAUUUGAAAGCUGUGCUGAUGUGGACAAUUAAUGAUCUUCCGGCUUAUGGGAACUUAUCAGAAUAUCCUACGAAAGGUGAAGUAGCAUGUCCAGUAUGUGGUUUAUCCACAUGUGCAAAAUGGUUGACUUGUAGUCGAAAGUUUUCAUACAUAUGUCAUAGAAGAUUUCUUGCAUAUAAUCUCCUUAUCGAUUGAAAGAAGCUUGGUUCGAUGGAAACAAGGAGCAUAGGCCUAGUCCUAAAAUAUUAACCGGUCGAGAAGUGAUGUGUUCAAUCAAGAAUGUUAACAAUAAUUGGAGAAAACUAGGAAAAAAAAAAGAAAGAUGAAAAAAUCGAAUUCUAAUUGGCCAUGGAAAAAAGUCAAUAUUCUUUGAGCUACCAUAUUGGGAGGUUAGUCAAUUUAAACUAUUUUGAAAUAGUUAUUUCUUCGCUUAAACUUUUUUUAAAUUUAUGUUGUUAUUUUUCAGACACUACUUUUGCGCCAUAAUUUGGAUGUAAUGCACAUUGAAAAGAACAUUUGCGAAAGCAUUCUUGGCAACAUUUUGCAUGUGAAGGGAAAAUCAAAAGAUGAGUUAAAUUCCCGUAAGGAUUUACUCAAUAUGGGUAUUAGAAAGGAGCUUCAUCCAGAAUUGAGAGGAAAUAUAUAUUACCUCCCUACAGCAUCAUAUAUGCUAUCCAAAAAAGAGAGAGAGUUAUUUUGUAAGAGGCUAUUUGAUUUAAGAUUACCUUAUGGUUAUAGUUCUAACAAUUUAAAUUGUGUAUCAUUAGAAGAUAAUAGGAUUUAAAAUCUAAAGUCUCAUGAUUGCCAUGUGCUCAUACAACAAUUGCUAUCAGUUGCAUUAAGAGGACUUUUACCUAGAGGACCAAGAAAUGCAUUUUUUCAACUAUGUGCAUUUUUCAACAAAAUAUGUCAAAAAGUCGUUGAUAAAAAUAAAUUAGAAAAACUUGAGGAGGAUGUUGCUGUGACUUUGUGUAUGCUAGAAAUGUAUUUUCCCCCAUCCUUUUUUGACAUAAUGAUUCAUUUAACCAUCCACCUUGGGUGUGAGGUUCGUAUUGGUGGACCUAUACAAUAUCGUUGGAUGUAUUCAUUUGAGAUGUAAAUUACUGUUAUACUUUUGUAAGUAUUCAAACUUUCUUCUUUUAAUUACUUAGAUAUCUAAUGCCUAUUAUAUGAUUCAUUAUGUUUAUGAAAACACUUAAAGGAUAUGUUAGAAAUCGUUCAAGACCUGAGGGCUGUAUAGCAGAGCAUUAUUUAGCCGAUGAAUGUAUGCAUUUUUGUAGUGGUUACAUGAAACAAGCUGCUAAUGUAGGUGUUCGACAUACUCGGAAUGAAGAUUUUGAGAAUGAAACAAUUAUUGAAGGACGUCCGAUUUCUGAAGGAAAGUUAAAGACUUUGAGUCCUUAAAGUUGAGUGCUUUGGUGCACAAUCAUAACUGGCAAACUCAAGUCCAAGAGUUAAGAAAUGAAAUUAAAGAAUUAAAAACUUUAUUUCAAAUGAAGAGUAAGAAUGCUGAACAAGAAGAUAAUAUAAGUGAAAAAUAGAAUUAUUGAACGUUAUUCUAACUAACAUAUAAUUUCUAUAUUUAAAAUAAUAAAUUGUACAAUUGGAUAUGAAUUUUACAGCCUAGAGAUGGAAGCUUGAAAGGUUCAAAUAACUGUCAAAAUAGGAAAUGCAAAAUGUUAUUUUGGUUUGGGAAAGCUGAUGUUGUUGUAAAAGGUGAAAUCACAUCAACAAAUCCAAGUGAUUUGGUACCACUUGGUAAUGAAUGUUGGAGAGUUUGGGUUAAUAAAGUGAUUGAUAAUGUUAGCUUAUAUCGUCCUACAUGUGAGCUUUUUCUUCUUGAAAAUGCAUUAGGAAGUACAAUAGCAUGGCCAAUUUGGUACAUCAAAGUGGAUUCGCUACAAUCAAAAUGAAGGUAUGCUUAACUUCUUUUCUAUUUUAAUUUGACAAUUCAUUAUGCAAAUAUUUUACAAUUUAGGUCCUCCUAACAUUCUUGCUUCUGUGGGUCCAACACUUUUAACUGGGCAUUGAUUACCAUUUAGUGGAACUUGAUCACUGACAUUUGAUGAAAUUUCAGGUACAAGUAGAUUACAAAUGUGCAUUGUUGAAGUCUCACCCAGAUCUAGCUCCGUACUCAUGUGGUUGGAAAGCAUUAUUUUGUUUGUAAAAUAACUUAUUAGUGUUGAUUGAACUUAUGUCUGUUGGUUGAGAAGCAAUUAGUUAUAGUUAGGCUUGUCAUUUGUGGAAUUUAUAUCUGUUGGUUGAGGAAAUAAAGUAUUUGUUACAUUUUAUUUAUAUAUGAUAAAUGUUUGUGUUAA
rnacentral:lncRNA from 1 species